GCUAAUACCGGAUAACAACACUAGACGCAUGUCUAGAGUUUAAAAGAUGGUUCUGCUAUCACUCUUGGAUGGACCUGCGGUGCAUUAGCUAGUUGGUAAGGCAACGGCUUACCAAGGCAAUGAUGCAUAGCCGAGUUGAGAGACUGAUCGGCCACAUUGGGACUGAGACACGGCCCAAACUCCUACGGGAGGCAGCAGCA
rnacentral:rRNA from 1 species